rnacentral:rRNA from 1 species
AGCAGCCGCGGUAAUUCCAGCUCCAAUAGCGUAUAUUAAAGUUGUUGCAGUUAAAAAGCUCGUAGUUGAAUUUCGGGGUUAGUAGGUCGGUCAUGCCUCUGGUAUGUACUGGUCUCACUGAUUCCUCCUUCCUGAUGAACCGUAAUGCCAUUAAUUUGGUGUUGCGGGGAAUUUGGACUGUUACUUUGAAAAAAUUAGAGUGUUUAAAGCAAGCUAACGCUUGAAUACAUUAGCAUGGAAUAAUGAAAUAGGACGUUCGAUCCUAUUUUGUUGGUUUCUAGGAUUGACGUAAUGAUUAAUAGGGAUAGUUGGGGGCAUUAGUAUUCAAUUGUCAGAGGUGAAAUUCUUGGAUUUAUUGAGGACUAACUACUGCGAAAGCAUUUGCCAAGGAUGUUUUCAUUAAUCAAGAACGAAAGUUAGGGGAUCGAAGACGAUCAGAUACCGUCGUAGUCUUAACCAUAAACUAUGCCGACUAGGGAUCGGAUGAUGUUAAUUUUUAAUGACUCAUUCGGCGCCUUAC